GGGUAACCAUGGACUACCUGGACCCCUGGAGCAAAAGGCAAUGGCCACAAAGAUGAAGCUGAUCUCCAGGACCAGCAGGCCCCCAGGACCAGCAGGCCCAUGAGGCGUUGGAGAUGCUGGACCAAAGGGAGAAGAUGAAAUGAGAGGGUAUCCUGGGCCACCAAGGCCACAGGGAAGCGGAAUGAUUGGUCCCAAGUUAGGGAGACUAUGGAAAUAAAGGUGAUCCCAGGAGCAAAGGAGCCAAAGGAGAGAUUAGAG